rnacentral:rRNA from 1 species
UACGUAGGCAGCAAGCGUUGUUCGGAGUUACUGGGCGUAAAGGGUGCGUAGGCGGUCCUAUAAGUAUGGUGUGAAAUCUCCCGGCUUAACUGGGAGGGUGCGCUAUAGACUGUGGGACUAGAGUGUGGGAGAGGAAAGUGGAAUUCCUGGUGUAGCGGUGAAAUGCGUAGAUAUUGGGAAGAACACCGGUGGCGAAGGCGGCCAACUGGACCACAACUGACGCUGAGGCGCGAAAGCCAGGGGAGCAAACGGG